rnacentral:piRNA from 1 species
UGAUCAUGGUCUUCAGCAUCCUUCUUUGU